rnacentral:misc_RNA from 1 species
UGUGGACCCAACUCCUGGCGGCGAACUUGGAGGAUCUCAGCCCCCGGAGCAUUUCGUUCGGGAUCCCCACCGUGACGCCGAUCCCGGUCCCGGUGAGGCUCUCCAGCGCGCCGGGGUCAGCUUCUAAGAGCUUCACCCGGCUGAUGUUGUUGGCCCGCAGGAGACCCGCCACCACCGUCACCGGCGGCAGCGGGUGGGAGGCGG